rnacentral:lncRNA from 1 species
GAAAUCCACUCCUUUGAUCUUUUUAGCUAAGAAUGGAUUUUUAGUCCUCUGGUACCAUUUCUGUCAUUUGAUCCUCUUACAAAAGGCUUCCUUUUUAUACAUUGCUUUAUUCCUUAGGAAUUUGCAGUUUUAAGCGGUUGAUGACAGGGAAAAAAACGCCGUUAAUUGUUUGCUGGGGUUUGUUAUAAAUGAUGUUUCUGUGAGUUGAUUGGAAUAUAAUCUUCACAUACAUAUUGGUACAGAAUCUGGUUUCCUUUGGUGCUUCAUCCACAGCUGGAAAUCGCUUUGGUCAAAUAAAAAUGGAUAUUUACGGAAUAAACGGUGUAAGAUUUUCCUUUCUUUUUCUUCGCUCAUUUCUAGUUCAUCAGUCUCAGUUGUGUAUUGGGGGAGUUCACGAGCUUGAUCAGUUUACAAAGACCAAGGGCAUGCUAAGGGCAACUUAUUCAUUGUUCACUGCCGCUACAUGUGUAUUGGUAAAUUGGAAUCUUUCUUUGUCUCUGCUCUAACAUGAAAUGGAAUCUAGUUCUUUUCAAUCUUUUAAAUCAUCUUAGGUUCCCUGAUGUGUUUCUGCAUUUGCUGAUAGAUUCGACCGGAAGAGGAUGACACAUGUAACUGAUAAGGUGUUAAGUUUAUGUGUGGUGUUAGUUUAUGAUUUUGUUGGCCUUUUUACCUAUAGCUUGUUCUCCCUACCUUUGUAGACAAGGCCUUCAACUUGAAAGGAAGGAAUUCAUUUGGACGUUGGCCUUUUUACCUGUAGUUUGUUCUCCCUACCUUUAUAGACAAGGCCUUCAACUUGAAAGGAAGGAAUUCAUUUGAACUUUACACGGGUCAGGAAUCUAUGGUAAAGUGGUUUUCAGGAUGGUGGAGCCAAUAUUGUUAAUUUUUUGUUGUGGUUUGUUUUAAUGAUAUAUUUUUAAGAGUUGCUUGGAAUGUGAUUUUCACUUCAUAUUGGUACAGAAUCUGGUUUUCUUUGGUGCUUUUUCAUUCACAGCUGGAAAUCCUUUGGUCAAAUAAUAUUCGAUUCUUAUGUAAGAAAGGGUGUAAAAUUCUUCUCUUUUCUUUGCUCAUUUCUGGUUCAUCAGUUUCAAUGUGUGCGUUGGGGUUGUUUAUGUGGAGUCUGAUCAUUUUAUGAGGUCUGGGCUGUGAAGGGAAACUAUUUUGCAGCUAAAUUCGCAUUGGCGAUUACAUCUGUCUUUGCUCUACAUGAACUGGAAUCUGGGCUUUUUUCAGCUUAGUAUAAAAUGCCUUAGGUUUUUGAUGUUCCUCCAUGUGCAGAUAAGAUUUGACGGGGAGAGGUCUGAGAGGAUGACACAUGAAUCAGGUAAAUAUUAAGGUGUUAGCUUUGUGUGUGUGGGUUUAUGAAUUAGGUAGUUCUCUCUGCAUUUCUGGACCUUCAACUUGAAAGGAAAGAAUUCAUUGGAACUUAUUUCUCGUCAGGGGUCUUCUUGUUGGAUAGAUGAAACAACAUACUAUUUAUAAAGAAAGAUUAAGCUCCCUCGAUACUGUCCAUCUGUUUGAAAUUAUCAAUAGUUGUAGUUAUCAUGAAUUGUCCUCUAUAUUAAAGUCUGGCAUGUACUGCACAGGAAUUUCCAAUAUAGCUUAAUGACAGUUCCUUGGGGUCUUCUUGGAUGUUCAGUUAUAAAGAUAGGUCACCAGUUGAUAACUUCCAUGCUAUGGUACUGAUAUGCACAAAGAAAAAAUUGAUUGACUGCAUGGUAAUUUCCUAUACUGCACAUAAAUCCUUUAUUGUCAUAAUCAGAUGUUGGGCUCUUUGGACUGUUGCUUACGGGUACUGCUAUCGAGCACUAGUGCUUAUCUAAGUGUUGGAUUUUUUAUUUUCUAAAAUAUAGGAUGCAGGAACAUUUCUAAAAAGAGUUCAAAUUUCAUAUACGGAUACGUGAGUAUUUCUUUAAUACUUCAAUUUUUUUUUUACUAAUCUAAAAUGUAAUUUUGAAUAGACCAAAAUAAAUUAUUCACAAAGAAGGAAAUAGAUAUUGAAUUAGAGGUUAAGACGAGUAAAAUAGAAUUUUGAGACGUAGUUUUUAAUCAUGGGAAUUACUAAAUGUUAUAUAAAAUAGAAAAUGAAGAAUUUGAUUGCAAUUUGGACUUAGUGAAGCACUAAUUAGUACUAUAUGAAACUUAUUUUUAUUUUAUACAAACAAAACCCUAAAUCACCAUUACAAAGAGAGAAGGAAAAAAGAAGAAAUUGGAAAGAAAAAAUAAAUAGGAAGAAAAAGAAAGGAAAAGAAGAGUUCGAGCAUUAGAGGCAAUUACUAUAACCGUAUUUUCAACUGGCACGUCGUCUUUAUAUGUAUGCCUUGGUUUUGGUUAAUGUUUCUCUGAUUGGUAUAUAUGACAUUUAAAGGUUUUAAUUAAUUUUUCUUUUUUGUAUAUCUAUCCAAUGGUGUAAAAAAAAGAAUCGAA